UUUGAUAAGCGCCAGAACUUAGAUAUCGUCUCUUUUUAAUUAAAUACAUUAGUUCUAAGUUGACGAGGACAGAGUUAAUCGAAUUAUCGGCGGAUGCUCUGCGGUGUGUUUACCAUCGAAGAACUUCUUUAAAACAUAGGAGUGAUCCUUUGCACAAAGAGAAGCUCAA
rnacentral:ncRNA from 1 species